rnacentral:rRNA from 1 species
AUGGCCACGGCGACGGCGGCGGCGGAAGGCCUUGGGCGCCAGAGAGCGAGCCCGGACCACCUCCCCGUGCCUCCCCGCCCCCGCUCCCGGUAUCGGCAUCGCGCGGCAGGCCGACCACAUCCCGUGGCCGCGGGCACGCCGCCUCGCCCCGCCCCCGGGCUCCGGCAUGCUCAGGCGGACCGCCGUGCCCUUCUCCCUCACCACCCCCGCGCUCGUCCGGCACGUCCCUACAACGGCGGCCCGUUCGCCGCCCUCCUCUACCUGUGCGCCGCGCUCGGAGUUGCCGUGGAUUCCUGCGGCUCGCUGCGGGACUACGGAGGCCUCGCCGCGGUCCUCGCCGCUCUUAUCAUCGUCCUUGUGCUGAGGCAUCCGCCCCGAUUGGCCCGUCAGGUCGACCCUGAUGGACCCCGCCAGAUCCCGGCGGCUCCGGCUCCGCGGGUUCAACCGGAGCACCCACGCCUCGCUCCCACACUCUCCAUCACCGGGGGCAUACUGGACGCUGCCCAGGUUGCUGCUGCCAUCCGCAGCUCCAUGGCAGACAGCGCCCGUCCGAUUCCCGCCGUCAGUCCACCCCAAGCUGACUCCUCCGACUCCGACGGGGGCGGGUCAAGCACCAACGGCGACGACAUCAAUAACUUGUGGUAUACUCCCGUCCACCUCCUCGAAGCAGGCGACGUCUGUCUCAUCCUCCCCGACUUCAUCCAGCAGCUCCAAGACAUGGAUUCAGGGUUAACCCAAGCUGAAUCCCUUGAAUUGCUUCAGAGAGCGUUCAGAGAUGCCAACAACUCUCAUGGAUUCCACAGAUUGUCUGACAUAGUUGAGGAGAACCGUUGGAUUAUCAAUGACGCUCCUCUUGUGUUGACAGACAGAUCGGCUGGGACUUCUGUCAUGAAGAUGAAAAUUACUGCAAAACUUAUUCAGCUGAUCUGGUUUGAAUUAGAUGGGCAGAAUUGGAAGUCGUGUCAGGAAGUCAAAAAGGAAUGCUGCUUUCGAGAGGUUGUCGGGCAAUCUGUAGAAGAGCUCCUUGAUGUUGCACUUUCAUUCAGCAGCGCAAGGUGGUCUGCUGAUCAUCCAUUGCAAAUGCUAACCAUCUUUGAUGCACUUGUCGAUGUCCUAUGUACCAUAAGAGAAUUGACUUUCAGCAGUACUGAGUUGAUACAUGAUGUGGUUGCUCAUGUCUUUCGCAAGAUGGUGGUUGAUUUGAGAGGAAUGCUUGAAGGGACUACCAGUGACAUGCAUCGCAUCAGAGAAUGUGCCAUCCAUCCAGCAACCGUUCUUCUUGUACGAUACCUGGAAUUUUUCUAUCGCAGCGGGGACAUGAUGCAGUUUGUACUUGUCACUGGGGAUUGGACUAUUGAGCUUAGCAUGAUCUAUGCUUGGGCCUCCAAGCUCAGUGAAGAUGCAAAAGUAAUGUUCCCAGCAAAGGGUCAAAGUGUAGAACUGCAGAGGGGUCUCUGUUCGCUGAUCCAUCAGCACAUACAGAGCUACCUUGACGAAUGUUGGGUCCCGCUUGUGGGAUAUUUGGGUGUUGAUUCUCUGAAGAGAUUUCUUGCAGAGUUCUUUACCAUCUGUGAUAGCCAGAUGACAUGGAAAGUUCGUACUGUGCUCAAGGUGACACUGCGUCGGGAGAUUGUGGGGUUGAUUGUUCCAAAUUAUGAGAACUUCUUACAGGAAAAGUCCAGUUCGCACCGGACUUCCUGGUUGAAGGCCAGAUCUGGGAAACCAAUGUAUACUGCUGUGUGGUUGGAAGAGAAGAUCGGUGAAUUCUUUGAGAGAUAA